UGGGGAAUCUUGCGCAAUGGGCGGAAGCCUGACGCAGCAACGCCGCGUGCGGGAAGAAGGCCUUAGGGUCGUAAACCGCUUUCAGGGGGGACGAAGCUUCCGGGGUUAAUAGCCUACGGGGUGACGAUACUCCCAAAAGAAGGUCCGGCUAACUACGUGCCAGCAGCCGCGGUAAUACGUAGGGACCGAGCGUUGUCCGGAAUCAUUGGGCGUAAAGAGCGUGUAGGCGGCUUGGUAGGUCUCGUGUGA
rnacentral:rRNA from 1 species